rnacentral:rRNA from 1 species
UACGGAGGGUGCAAGCGUUAAUCGGAAUUACUGGGCGUAAAGCGCACGCAGGUGGCUGAGUCAGUCGAUUGUGAAAGCCCUGGGCUUAACCUGGGAAUUGCAGUCGAUACUACUCAGCUAGAGUAUGGGAGAGGGUAGUGGAAUUCCCGGUGUAGCGGUGAAAUGCGUAGAUAUCGGGAGGAACAUCAGUGGCGAAGGCGGCGAUCUGGGUCGAUACUGACGCUGAGGUGCGAAAGCGUGGGGAGCAAACAGG